CAACGAUAUAAAAGUAAUGUGAGUUAUAAUGUUAAUAUGUUGAAUGUUUUAUACUCGGUCAUUGGCGUUCGCGAUCGUCUGAUGUGUAAACGUAUCAAGUAAGCUGUAAAUAAGUGAUGCAUCGACAGACAUAUACGCGUGUCCUUUCUUAUCAGUGCUGCAAUUUAUUUAUCAGCUAUGCAUCUUCUGGUAAUUGCUAACAACUAUUUUAAUUUUAAUUUAGGACUGUGGCUGCAUCACUCGCAUAAUUGCACAAGAAAGGCACACGUGUCGUUCAGUUUUGAGUUCGCCGGAAAAUCAUACUGAGCAAGUGCACAGUAUACACCACUCUUGCUU